rnacentral:rRNA from 1 species
GACGAACGCUGGCGGCGUGCCUAAUACAUGCAAGUAGAACGCUGAAGAGAGGAGCUUGCUCUUCUUGGUUGAGUUGCGAACGGGUGAGUAACGCGUAGGUAACCUCCCUUGUAGCGGGGGAUAACUAUUGGAAACGAUAGCUAAUACCGCAUAACAAUGGAUGACACAUGUUCUUUAUUUGAAAGGGGCAUUUGCUUCACUACAAGAUGGACCUGCGUGGUAUUAGCUAGUGGGUAAGGUAAUGGCUUACCAAGGCGACGAUACGUAGCCGACCUGAGAGGUGGAUCGCCCACAUGGGAAUGGGAAACGGCCCAAGAUCCUUCGGGAAGGCGCAGGAAGGAAAUUUCGGGAAUUGGGGGAAAGCUGGCCGAGGAAAGCCGGGGGAGUGAAGGAGGUUUUCCGGUCCGAAAGCUCUGUUGUAAGGCGAGGACGGGAGGGGGAGUGGAAAGUUCACACUUUGACGGUAGCUUACCAGAAAGGGACGGCUAACUACGUG